UCAUGUUUUAGCGCCUAUUUGUGCACAAGAAGUAUCAUUAGUGUGAUCAAUGUGAUUUUCAGGGCGAUCGAAGUAAAAAAGUGGGAGUUGUUGAUAGUCAAUAUGUUGUUCACAAGGGAAUACAAACUCUAGGUGGGAGUGAUGAUCAUGGUGCUACCAAGGUAUUUGCUUCUUCUCCAAAUAUUGGACUUGAUCCUAUAAUUUCUUUUGUGCCACUACCAACUAAGAAUAUUGAUUGCAUUAGUGUGCUAACUU
rnacentral:lncRNA from 1 species